rnacentral:rRNA from 1 species
AACGAACGCUGGCGGCAUGCCUAACACAUGCAAGUCGAACGAGACCUUCGGGUCUAGUGGCGCACGGGUGCGUAACGCGUGGGAACCUGCCUUUAGGUUCGGAAUAAACUCAGAGAAAUUUGAGCUAAUACCGGAUAAAUGUCUUCGGACCAAAGAUUUAUCGCCUUUAGAUGGGCCCGCGUUGGAUUAGCUAGUUGGUGGGGUAAAGGCCUACCAAGGCGACGAUCAUAGCUGGUCUGAGAGGAUGAUCAGCCACACUGGGACUGAGACACGGCCCAGACUCCUACGGGAGGCAGCAGUGGGGAAUAUUGGACAAUGGGCGAAAGCCUGAUCCUAG